rnacentral:rRNA from 1 species
GAUGAACGCUGGCGGCGUGCCUAAUACAUGCAAGUCGAGCGAACAGACGAGGAGCUUGCUCCUUUGACGUUAGCGGCGGACGGGUGAGUAACACGUGGAUAACCUACCUAUAAGACUGGGAUAACUUCGGGAAACCGGAGCUAAUACCGGAUAACAUGUUGAACCGCAUGGUUCAACAGUGAAAGACGGUCUUGCUGUCACUUAUAGAUGGAUCCGCGUCGCAUUAGCUAGUUGGUAAGGUAACGGCUUACCAAGGCAACGAUGCGUAGCCGACCUGAGAGGGUGAUCGGCCACACUGGAACUGAGACACGGUCCAGACUCCUACGGGAGGCAGCAGUAGGGAAUCUUCCGCAAUGGGCGAAAGCCUGACGGAGCAACGCCGCGUGAGUGAAGAAGGUCUUCGGAUCGUAAAACUCUGUUAUUAGGGAAGAACAAAUGUGUAAGUAACUAUGCACGUCUUGACGGUACCUAAUCAGAAAGCCACGGCUAACUACGUG